UACGUAGGGGGCAAGCGUUGUCCGGAUUUAUUGGGCGUAAAGAGCGUGUAGGCGGUCAUGUAGGUCCGUUGUGAAAACUCGAGGCUCAACCUCGAGACGCCGAUGGAAACCAUAUGGCUAGAGUCCGGAAGAGGAGAGUGGAAUUCCUGGUGUAGCGGUGAAAUGCGCAGAUAUCAGGAAGAACACCCGUGGCUAAGGCGGCUCUCUAGUACGGUACUGACGCUGAGACGCGAAAGCGUGGGGAGCGAACAGG
rnacentral:rRNA from 1 species